CCUACGGGUGGCAGCAGUGGGGAAUAUUGCACAAUGGGGGGAACCCUGAUGCAGCGACGCCGCGUGAGUGAAGAAGUAUUUCGGUAUGUAAAGCUCUAUCAGCAGGGAAGAUCAUGACGGUACCUGACUAAGAAGCCCCGGCUAACUACGUGCCAUGAGCCGCGGUAAUACGUCGGGGGCAAGCGUUAUCCGGAUUUACUGGGUGUAAAGGGUGCGUAGGUGGGGCUGCAGGUUCGGAGGGAAAGCCCUGGGGUUAACCAUGGUACUGCUGUGGAAACUGUGGAGCUUGAGUGCGGGAGGGGCAGGCGGAAUUCCUAGUGUAGCGGUGAAAUGCGUAGAUAUUAGGAGGAACACCGGCGGCGAAGGCGGCCUGCUGGACCGUAACUGACGGUGAGGCUCGAAAGCGUGGGGAGCAAACAGGAUUAGAUACCCCUGUAGUC
rnacentral:rRNA from 1 species